rnacentral:rRNA from 1 species
GACGAACGCUGGCGGCGUGCCUAAUACAUGCAAGUUGAGCGCUGAAGGUUGGUCCUUGUACCAACUGGAUGAGCAGCGAACGGGUGAGUAACGCGUGGGGAAUCUGCCUUUGAGCGGGGGACAACAUUUGGAAACGAAUGCUAAUACCGCAUAAAAACUUUAAACACAAGUUUUAAGUUUGAAAGAUGCAAUUGCAUCACUCAAAGAUGAUCCCGCGUUGUAUUAGCUAGUUGGUGAGGUAAAGGCUCACCAAGGCGAUGAUACAUAGCCGACCUGAGAGGGUGAGCGGCCACAUUGGGACUGAGACACGGCCCAAACUCCUACGGGAGGCAGCAGUAGGGAAUCUUCGGCAAUAGACGAAAGUCUGACCGAGCAACGCCGCGUGAGUGAAGAAGGUUGUCGGAUCGUAAAACUCUGUUGGUAGAGAAGAACGUUGGUGAGAGUGGAAAGCUCAUCAAGUGACGGUAACUACACAGAAAGGGACGGCUAACUACGUG